GUUUGCUUCAUUCCAGCAUAUUCGUGUCGUAAUGUUUGUGGUGAUCGGAUGUAGCUGCGACAUGGUUGCUUCAUAGGGCAAACCAAACCCGAUAAUCGACCGCAGCAGUAGCAGCACCAGCAGCGGGACGGGCGACGGAUGACGACGGUUUUCCAAUUCGCGGUGUGAUACAGUGAAUUAGGCGAAUAACCGAGCGCCAAUGUUACAUUAGUGCGGGGUUACAGAGAAGAAAUGCGUUAAGGUUUCAACAGUUCGUAACAAAUUGCGAGCAAAGAAGUGCCGAAGAAAGUCAGUCGGGAGGAAAUCCACCCGCAAGUGCCUGCAAGUGUGUGCGUGUGUGUGUGGGUGCCCGUCUCUUUGCGCGAGGAAAAUUCGGUGCGAAAAUGAGUGAUUAAAAUAAAAUUACAUCGACGAGAAAAUUCUUCCGCUAGUCGAGUGAGAAGAGAAAAAAAAGUGAAGCGAUCGAAAGAAUGAAGUGAAGAAUUUUUUCGGUUUCGAUUUUGAAAGUGGAAAAUUUCAUUAACAAGUAACCAAGUGAAACUUGCGGCAACCGCAGGCGGUACAUCAUCCGCUUCCCGAGUCCCGAGAGGCCGGAAGACAGAACCGUGUGUCCGUAGAAAACCGGCGAGAAGUGCGCACGCGGUGUGGGUGAGCGAAAUUGUGUGUGUGUGCGGUUUGUUCACACGCCGCAGCACCACAUACGGAAGUUGGAACCAACUGAUAAGGCUAGCCGGCAGUUAUCUGUCUAUCUGUGUGUAAUCUGGUGCCAAGGAUAAGGCAGACGGCGGCUCCUACGCCACCAGUGUCAGAAUGAAUCCCAUCAUAAGCGAACACGAGGCGGCCGCGCUGGCCGCGGAAAUGUUCGACCAUUUCUGUGCCGCGACCACUAUGCGCCAAAUUCUGGGGCUGUACCGAAACAUGUGUGAUAUCCUCGGGCAGCGGCCCGGCCCCAUGAACGAGUUCUAUCCCAAGUUUAAGGCGAAAAUUCGCAACUGGAAGGCACAAGCACUGUGGAAGAAAUUCGACGCACGGGCCGCCCACCGUGUGUACAACAAGGGUACAGCCGCCAGCGGCACCCGGGUACUAGUCAUCGGCGCAGGACCCUGCGGUCUGCGCACGGCCAUCGAAGCACAGCUGCUCGGCGCCAAAGUGGUUGUCGUAGAGAAACGCGAUCGAAUUACCAGAAACAAUGUACUGCAUCUGUGGCCAUUUCUCAUCACCGAUCUCAAAGCGCUCGGAGCGAAGAAGUUCUACGGUAAGUUCUGCGCGGGCUCGAUCGAUCACAUCUCGAUCCGUCAGCUGCAGUGUAUCCUGCUCAAGGUCGCCCUGCUGCUCGGGGUCGAGGUGCACGAGGGUGUGUCCUUCGAGCAUGAGAUCGAACCGAAGGACGGUUGCGGGUGGCGAGCGUCCGUUUCGCCCGAAGACCACGCUGUGUCGCACUAUGAGUUUGACGUGUUGAUCGGUGCCGACGGUAAGCGAAACACGUUGGAAGGUUUCAGGCGGAAGGAAUUCCGGGGCAAACUUGCAAUCGCUAUCACUGCCAAUUUUAUAAACAAAAAGACCGAAGCGGAAGCGAAGGUGGAAGAGAUCAGCGGUGUGGCGUUCAUUUUCAAUCAGUCAUUCUUCAAGGAGCUGUACCAGACGACCGGUAUCGAUUUGGAGAACAUCGUUUACUACAAAGACGAAACGCACUAUUUUGUGAUGACGGCGAAAAAGCACAGUCUGCUCGACAAGGGAGUUAUCAUGCAGGAUUACGCCGAUCCGGCGGAGCUGCUGUCUUCGGCCAACGUCGAUACCUCCAAACUGCUGGAGUAUGCCCGAGAAGCGGCCGAUUUUUCCACCAAAUACCAAAUGCCAAAUCUGGAAUUCGCAGUUAAUCACUACGGGAAGCCAGACGUGGCGAUGUUCGAUUUCACCUCAAUGUUCGCCGCUGAAAAUUCGUGCAAGAUAACCGUCCGCAAGAGCUACCGACUGUUGUCGUGUCUUGUUGGGGAUAGCUUGCUGGAACCAUUUUGGCCGACCGGAUCUGGCUGCGCCAGAGGAUUCCUUUCCAGCAUGGACGCUGCGUACGCAAUAAAGCUGCUUUCGAACCAGAAAAAUAGUCCGCUGGCUGUGCUGGCGCAGCGAGAAUCUAUUUACCGACUACUCGCACAAACCACCCCAGAAAACCUUCAGCGAGACAUUGGAUCGUACACGUUGGAUCCCUGCACCAGGUACCCUAACCUCAACAGGUCCUCGGUCAACAUGACACAGGUGAAGCACUUGCUGGACACGGACGAUCCAACGCUGCUGGACCAAAUGUACCUGGAUACGAACUCGCUUACAACCGGACCGGAAGUGAUCGCUAUCAAGCGCAAGAGACGAACCAACGAUACCGUCCCACUUGGUACGGUUCUUUUGCGAUGGGUUAAAUCCCAACUCAAGGACAAUGAGUUUGUACAGCAACUUGGGGAUGCCGCACAGUGUUUCACCAACGGUCGGGUGCUGUGCACUCUGAUCAAUCGAUACCGUCCGGAUCUGGUGAAUUUGGAUGAACUGGAAGGAUGCAGGCCGGCCGAUUGCAAUGAACAUGCGUUCACUAUAUUCGAAGAUCAUCUAGGAAUUCCUCGGGUCAUGUCGGGUCAAGACUCGGUAACACUGUCCGCGGUUGACUCGAAAGUUUGGCUCACCUAUCUGGAACAGAUCUGCGAGGUAUUCCGCGGUGAAAUUCCGCACGUCAAACACCCGAAACUCGACUUCGCUGAGUUCAAACAGAAACAGAAGAUCGACAACAUGGAGGAAUUCGCCAAGCUGAGACGUUUCGCGGCGAAUCGGAUGGUGGCGAUGAACGCAGCGCCGGCAGCUAUUUCAGGAACAGCAGCACCUAGUGGUGUUCGCAAAUCUUCCAACUACCAUCACGCCAACGAAGAGGAGCGCAUCAAGCGCAGCCGGAAGGUGCUUGGCGCGGAAUCUAGUCCAAUGGCUUCACCACAAACCGACACGACGAAGCGAGCGAAGAAACGCCGUAGCUAUGAAAAGUUCGGCAAUAUUGAGGAACGCACCCGCCGGUGGCAAGAGAUCGAAGCGAAUCGACAAGAUCGCCAGACCAAGCGGCGACUGGCACGAGCCCAGCAAACCCAAAAUUUCUUCACCAGUCUCCACAUGCUGCAAGCUAACACUUUACUGCGCGAAAGUGACAGCUCCAGCGCGUUCGAGGACUACUCGCUGUUCCUCUACCGGCAGUCGGCGCCGGAAUUCACCGAUCGCGUCAAAGAGCUGGAGCGGAAGUUGCUCUAUCCCGAUCGCGAUCGAGGGCUUGCGGCGGCCUACCCACGAAAUGUCGCCUGUGCCGACGGCGAGCAAAUUAGCGAUCGGAUCAAAUCGAUGGAGCAACGAAUCGUCGGAAAGCACGUUCCGCACGUUGGUGAGAAGAAACCGAAAGAUCUAUUGCGGGCGAUCGGUAAGAUCGAUAGCAACGAUUGGAAUGUGAAGGAGAUCGAGAAGAAAAUCGAACUGUCGAAGAAGGCGACCGACAUUGGCAAGAGCCGUGAGCGCGUGCCGAAGUGGAACCGCGAGCAGUUUCUGGCCCGCCAGAACAGGCUCACGCAGCAGCCGGAGGAUGACAGGUACAAGGAGUUCGACAGUUCGCUGAAAGCGAUCGACAAACAACUGAAGGAGGGCCACAAUUUGGAUCUUGGCGAGCGGGGCAAAAAUAAGGUUGCUUCCAUCGCCGGACAACUGCUGAGCUCGAAGCAACAGCAACAGCAGCAGCAGCAGCAAAAUCAACAACAACAGCAGUCAUCGCAACAUCAAAAAACGACGACGAAGGCAGCAUUGGUGCUCACCUCAGCAGGAAUAGCAGAAAAGUGUCACUUCUGCAAGCAGCGUGUCUAUCUGAUGGAGAAAAUUUCCGCCGAAGGUCUCACCCUGCAUCGGUCCUGUCUCAAGUGCCACCACUGUCACACAAAUCUUCGGCUUGGUGGCUACGCGUUCGAUCGAGACGAUCCGGAGGGCAAGUUCUACUGUACCCAGCACUUCAAGUUGCCAUCGAAAUCCGUUAAGGCCGUGCCGAGGAAAUCCCACCCUCGGACACCUCAGGCGGAAAGCAAACAGGCCGUGGCAAGCGUAACGGCUGCUGAACCAUCCACGCCGAAAUCCUCCUCCGGACUGUCGAAUUUCGAUCUGAUGGAUCGUGGCGAGACACCGGAGCGGAUCGAGUUCGAGAACGCGGACGAGGCUAUUUCGGAUGGCGAGGGUGCAAUGGAGGUCAUCGAUGAGAACGAGUGGACCGACCGGAACUUCGGUACCGAGUCCGAUGAGUCGGAGGAGGAUGACUCCAGCUCGGAUGAAUCGGACAGCGACAGUGAGUCGGACUACGAGGAGGCGGCCGGGUCUCCGCUGGGGGCCCAAACGCUGCAGCUCGCAUCCGAGUGGAUCAGCGAUAAGCGAUUCUCCAACAUGGUGGAGAGCGACGAUGAUUUCUACGGAUACUCGAGUGAAGACGACGAGGCGGAUUCGCAGACCGAGGGCGAGGAACUGGCUCGGGCACGAGAGAUGCGCAUGCAGGAGGUUAAGCUGAUGCCUCCGCUGACGCUUCCGACGGAUACCGAAACCGAGGUUUCCCCAAAAGUAGCUCCUAGUGUACCUUCUAAUCAGCCUAGAAGCGCCCCUUGCACUAGCACUGUUCCUAAUCAAAGCGGCAGUGCUCUCACUGUUAAUAACCCACCACCACAGCCGAUAGUAGAAUCCGCCGAGGAUAAAGCCCUUAGAGAGAGAAUGCUCCAGAAGCUUAGCGUUCGUGAGCAGUGGCUCCACUCUUCGUCUCACUCACCAUCACCGACACCCAGCAGUACUAGCAUGGCUGCCGAACCCCCAAAGCCCAAAACGUCCUUCUUCGGUGGUCUCAUGAGCAGUCUCAGUACACUAAUCAUGCCAGACAAGUCUUCCAAGUCCCCAACACCAACUUCUACUUGUGCCCCUCCGACGACCAACCCAAAUCCCCCAAAAAACGAAUCCAAACCUUCGACGCCAUUGUUGUCCCUUCGCAAAACAUCCAACUCAUCACCUAAACCUCCACCAUCGCCUACCCCAUCUCUGAAGAAGCAGAAACGUCCAGAUAUUCCCGCCUCACCUACACCUUCUUUGAAGAAACAAAAACACCCCGGAGUUCCUGCUUCUCCGACGCCAUCUUUGAAACACAAAAAGCACAAGCACGCCACUCCAUCCCCGACACCUUCCACCGGAAGUCACGGUAAUCCUGUCCUAGAGGACGAAACCUUCGACGAAGUGUUCCGACAGGAACUCAACGAACACCACAGCAGUGGACGAAGCACUCCACUCUCGAAACGUGGCAGCCGAUCAAAGUUGAGUGAAAUACGAGAAGACGCCGAUGCGUUCUUGGAACGAAUCAAACAGAACCAAUCGGCGCUGGACGAACGCAUGAAAAAAAUGGAAGCUAAAAAGUUCAAAAGCAACAUGCAAUCCAUUAAAUCCGCCAUCGAGGGUCCUCGAAUAGUCGGAGUCAAGAGCGAGAAAGAUGUGUCGAAAUUCUUCGGCGUGGCCAACAAAAAAGAACAACCCGACCCGAAACCCAAACAGCUUCCCAACAAAGACGUGUCCGCUCUGCAGGGUGUUAAUCUGUCGAAGUACUUCCCCACGGCGAACUCGGCUCCGAACAGUGCGAAAGCCAGCACCGGAACGCCGUCGUCGGUCUCUAGCGUUGAAGGUUCUCCCUUGUUAACCCGCAAAAAGUCUAGCGAGAUUGAUUUGACGAAAUAUUUCGGUCCUAGCACGACCAAAUCGUCGCCCUCCACUCCGUCCUCGUUGGUUUCUCCUGCAAUCUCGAGAAAGAAUAGUGUCGAGUCUUCGAUGGUAGUGCCCAAAACUGUUUCCGUGAUGAAACCCCCGGUUGUGCCACUUCCUCCUAAAAAGAACAUUUUAGCUUUACAAACUGUUAAGAAAUCCAAAACAGAAACCGCAAUGCCAUCGACGAUCCCGAUCAAAAAUGCACUUGCCUUCCAACCGGUUACGAAGCAGAAUAUUUUCACUGUGUCAGAGCCAGAAGCGUCACGGGUCAACCCAACGGAGCAGCGGAAACCUCCGAACACCGACGAGAAAGUGUUCGACGAAUUACUAACAACUAUAGACGAAACGCAGCGAAAGGUAGAUCCUGUCCAACUGACUUCCGACAAGCCUGUAUCUCCUGUGGUUGCUCCUUCGUUGCCUCAAGCUUCGAUGAAGAGGACUUUUCCUCCAAAGCGCGCAUCACCCGAUGUAGAUGAGCAAAUGUUCGAGAACUUACUCGAAGAAGUCGACGAAUCUUUGGUAGAUAACUUUGAGGAAAUUCUUGGUCUUCCCAAAAAACAAAGUCCGAAACUUACCAAAAAGAAGUCCCCUCCCAAACAGUCCCUCCCAGCGUCGCCCAAUAAAUCUCCUGAGGCAUCAAGAAGGACUCCACCCAUUCCAAAAAUGACCCUGAAGAGACCGGCUUUUAAGAUCACUGUUCCGGUGAAAAUGCAGGAAACUUUGGAAGAGAUCUACCUCGCCAGUUUGUCCAAGAUCGAUACAAGAUCUGCUUCCACCAGCAGCCUGAAUCGGUCCGAUCCGAUCACCCCAAGUGACCCUGAAUUAGGUAAUGUUGAGGAAUCGUUCGAAAAGUUGCUCAAAGAGAGCACCACGCAAGAAGUCUCCCCAACCAAGGUAGAACCGAAUAAAAUUCAGCCCUUUCAGGACCCCCCACCGACGACGAAGAUCAAGGAUGGUGGCCGCAAAGAAGAGAAAGCUUCUAGCGGCCAGGCGCAGGAACAGAUACCGGAGAGGACCCUGGUGCCGCAGGUAUUGCCGCUAGUCCCGAAGUCUGUGGCAUCGAAGCGGAUCGUGGAAAGUAAUGUUAGCGCAUCAAAUUCAACCCUGUCGAAUUCUCGGCCUGAAACACCCAAAUUAGUCAAGAAAGCAGAUAUUGAAAAAAAUGAUCAAAGAAGUACACUGCAUCUGAACUCUUCUACCCAGAUAAACGGUCAAUCUCUGAAAACACCCACGCAAACACCAGUUUUAACCAGGAAGAAUCUGCCCCGGGACUCAACCGAUCCUAUUUCGACACCUGUUUUACCCAAGAAAAAUUUUACGCAAGACCCAAUACCAGUAGCGCUUGUUCAAAAUAAAGUCGGCUCUGGUAAAUCCAACAAUUUCAUUGAAAAUGAGUCCACCAAAAUCUCAGCAACUCCUACAACAUCUCAGUUAAUAAACGGCCAUGAUUCGGAAUCAAAGCGAGAGCGAAAGUUAACGGCUGACGAGAUUUGCUUCCAGCAGCUGCAGAAGAAACAUGAUGCAUUGUUCAAUGGUCACCAAGAGCAAGAGCGUACGGUUUCCGCGAUCACCAAGAAACCAAUCGCACAGGAAGUUCGCUUUAAAAAAGAAGACGAAUUGAAAGUCGAAGUGCCACGAACUCUCAAUGAGUUCCGUUGCACUAUUGUCACGAAACAGAUACAAACGGAAGACAAACCGGACCCCAAGUUGCGCGAGAAAAUCAACGAACUGGCCAUGGAGAUGAUGCCCGGCGUAAAUCUCGACGAUAUGAUUGACGAAACUCCCGUUCCAGCGGAACGUAAGAAAUCAUCCUUCCAGAAGAUGUUGUACAAGCUGCAACGCGCCAAAACUAUCGCUGCGCCCGAAGGGUCUGCCAUAAAGACCCUGUUGGUUGCACCCGAGAAGGAUGAGUACAAGAUGGAGGUCAUCCGAGAACCGUCUGAUAAGAAAACAACCGUAGAAUUACCACCGAAUUCAGAUAUUGAACAACUGCCACCGGUUGAGGAGUCAAGUGAUCGCGUACAAAUCAACCAUGAACGAUCCGCAAAAAUAAAAGAACGAUAUGCUAAGGGAAAGGCACCUUCUCCUCCGAAAGCUCCUGCUAAGGAUGUGGUUGGUAAAUCAAUCGUAGAACAACCGCUGGAGAGAAACGGUUCGUUCAAGAUCCAACCGACCGGGCAGAAAAUAGAAGGAGCAUCUUCCAUUAAGAAGACAUCUGCUCAUUCGCCUCCUAAACUGAACACUAUCGCGAUUACAAAACCUUUUGAAAAGAAAUCUUCCGAUAAAGAGCAGUCUUCUAUACUAAUGGAUCCAGUUACAAGUGGGUCCCCAAAACCACCUGUAAGAACUGGAUCGUUCAGGUCGAAACAGUCGAAUGCUGUGUCUCCUCUGAAAAAAGACGUUUCCGAAGUUCCAAAUAUGCUGAAUGAACUUGAGUCUUUUUCGAAUACAACAGUCAUUGAUGGACCUCCGAAACCACCAGCUAGAACUGGGUCGUUCAGAACACAAGCACCAAGUUUAGUUUCAUCGUCUAAGCAGGACAUCGUUGGAACUCCUAAGCCUCUGGAGAGAAAGAAUUCAUUGAAAAAGCCCAUCCCAACAACCGUUUCGGCGGAAGACAACGAAUCGCCUCCAAAGGCUCCAACAAGAAGUGCUUCAUUCAAAGCUAAAUCAUCCAAAGCUGUCUCUGAACAAGAAGUGGGCAAAAUAACGUCGAACACCUCCAGCGAAAACAAGGCGACUUCAUUGAAAUCAGUAUCUGAAUCAACUUCGAAGGAAUCUUCGAAAGAAACGGUAAGAAGUAAAUUCUUUCAAAUGCCUCAAUCGAACCCAGCAUCUGCUGGGAUUCCAAAGCCGUUGGAGCGGAAGGGCUUGUUCAAGAAUCAAACGCCUCCAGUCAAUUCGGUGGAGUGCAAGAAAUCACCUCCACGAGCUCCGGCAAGAAGUGGCUCCUUCCGCUCGCACUCAUCAAAUGCAACCGCAGAUACUUCUCAACCGUUGAAUGACAAACCGCCACCCAAAGUACAAGCAUCCGAAGGUAAAAUGAACGAACAAUUUAGCAUUAUGGCUCGUGAUCCGGUUGUGAGCAACUUCGAUGACCUGCUGGAAGACGUCGAUGAACUGCCGGGCGUUAUAAGCAUUGACGAUCUUCUAUCUUCGGACGAUGAAGCAGUGAAAGUGGCGCCGAAAGAAGUUACCAAGACCAUAACUUCUCAUAAAUUGAAUACGGUGAACACUUUAGGUGCAGCUGAUAUUGUCAAUCAUGAAGUGAAGUCGGAGUUGAACAAGAAGUCUCCGUCGAACGAGUCCAGGGUACCUUUAUCUUCUGCUAAUGCUCUGUCCGAAGCAGAAUUCAAGCACACAACCGAGCAACUAACGGAUACAUUUUUGAACACUAAGUCGAAACCUUUACCGAAAGAGGUUCCCGAUAAGUACCCCAAAGGUCCAGAGAAAGAUUUAAUAAAAUCCCUUUGCGAGCCAGAACUAUCCAAAAAACAAGACAUUGGUGAUUUGGUUAACAACUCUUCGGGUUCGUUAUCCGAGGUGAACAUUCUACCUGAUGUCAUUAGUAUGACCAAGAAGCAACCCAUCGAACAAUCAGUGCCCUUGAACAUCUUGAGCUACACCGAAAAGAUCCAGCAAAUAACCAAUCAUGCCCCGACGGAAAUCCAAGUCUACACCUUACAUACAGAAGAAGACAAACCAGUCGAACCUCAACCUUCGACCAGCGGAGUCACUGGCAAUUAUGCCCAUAUACUGAAGGACAUUACUUCGGGCAUUGUUGGAGCCGACAUAACCGAUCCCGUGGGUUACGAGCCUCCACCAAGCAUAGACAAGAAACCCAGAUCGGACUUCACCGCCUACAAACAGAUGAUGUUGGAGCAACGGGGCAGAGAACCCACCGAACCACAGCAACCGCAACGGCCGUUGCGGCGUCAGAAACUCAUCGAUCGCGACGUUUCUCCAGCGAGCAGAGCUUUCGACAACUCGCUCUGCAUAGAUCCACGGCGUGCCCAGAGGUCUUCCAGCAUCGAAAACAUCGCCAUUGACCAGGUGUUUGUCAAGCGAAACGAUGAGGUUAUCGAUACGUUUUACGUCGUUCCGAAGCCACAGCUCAAGCGCCGAUCGAAGUCGUUCGAUCGGCUGGCUGCGCCCAGUUAUUCCAAAGCAGUCGGUCGACAGCACGAGAAAUCGCUCGACGAACUGCGUGAAUACGGGUUCGAUGUUGAGUCUCCGUCUGCCUCCAAGCAUCUGGUGAAUCCCAAACUUCGUCAUCUCGUUUUCGAGGGAUCAGAUGAGGAUCUUCCAAGCUUCAGAGAGCCCAGCAAGUGGCAGCAGAUGAGAAAGUGCAAGUCAACGACGGACACAUCGAAGCUUGAUGUGGAAACACUUCGAGUUGACAUCGACCGAGAGUCUCCGAUACCGCGCACCACCGAUUUCUCCAAGUGGGAAGCGAUUCUGGAUCGUGGUGUUCCAUACUACAUUGAACCCAAGCACCAUAAAAAGGAAGAUGUCAAAACGUUGGAGAAACAGUUGGAUAUUUUAAAGGUCGACUGUAAACCACGACGGAAGCUAGUUGGUCCAAAAGCAAUGCCCAAAGAAUACGAUCCGGAAGAGUACGUACCCAGAAUCAAUCGUAGAGUGGUUGAGUCCUACGCCAUGCCGGAUGCUACCCUUCCAAAGUCGUAUGACCCGGAAGAAUACAUCCCGAAGGCACAGCGGGCGACAUUGCAUGAAUCUGAUGUACCCAUCGCUGCCGCUAAACAUCACUCGAGAAGAACCCCUGCAUAUGGAGUGGAGGUUCCUAUAACCCGUGUAUCUGGGAAGUACUAUCCAGAAACGAUGCACUUGGACGAUGUUCCAUUGUCACGAUCGAAGACGACCUCUCACGUUCCCUACAGCUCACGAUUGCACGAUCUCCCGUCCCGGGAUGUCGCCACGAGUCAGUACUCUCGUCGAACGAUGGUGCACGAUAAAGACAUAGUCGACCGGAGCCAUCGGCUGCACGAGAAAGCCCACAAAUAUGUACGGUCUCGGAUAUCCAAGAAUGACCCGAACCCCUACAUACGAGAAAUGUUGGAGAAUGACAGUGAUGACGAUGGCUUGCCAAUCACGACAUCCACAUCACAUCGUACCCCCAUCUCUACUACCACUACAAGCUCUCGCUAUCCCGUUUCAUCGUACGGUUCGUCCGGUUCGGCAGCGAUGAGCCGAAUCGCAACCAAAGCCAUCACUCAGCCAUCCCGGAUGACACACUACACUCACACGACCGCACCUUCCCCGUCCACAGCUGCCAGUAGGUCGUUUCGCCGAGGAGGUGACGAACCUUCAAGUCGCCGAGAAAACUGUUCAAUCUCCUAGAAAAAAGUCCAUCAGUUAAUUUUUCGCUAUUAGUUUGUCUAUCUCAUCAUCCAAAACAAAACAAUAUCAUCGCAAAGUUUCAAAACGACAAAAUUCGAAAUUUCACAAUCGACACACACACAAAGAAACACGAGAUUCCCGGAGUUUGGGUACGAUUUAAGCUGAAAUGAAGUCAUUGAAAAUCAAAAACAACCAAACGUAACAAGAGAAAGAGAAGCGAGGGUGCCUCCGACUCGGACUCCAGGUCGGAGGAGAUCAAUUCGGCGACGGAGAUUUCAACCGAUUCGGAAUUCGACCACGAGCCAACUCAUCGGCUGCCGCCGCGUAUUCUCAUCGACGACACGCAUCUGCGACGACCGG